UGGGGAAUAUUGGACAAUGGGGGCAACCCUGAUCCAGCGAUGCCGCGUGUGUGAAGAAGGCCUGAGGGUUGUAAAGCACUUUAGUUGGGGAGGAAAGCCUGAGGAUGAAUAAGCCUUAGGGGAGACGUUACCCAAAGAAUAAGCACCGGCUAACUCUGUGCCAGCAGCCGCGGUAAUACAGAGGGUGCAAGCGUUAAUCGGAAUGACUGGGCGUAAAGAGCUCGUAGGCGGUCAUAUGUGUCAAAGGUGAAAUCCCCGGGCUUAACCUGGGAACUGCCUGUGAAACUGUAUGACUAGAAUAUAAGAGAGGUAAGUGGAAUUUCCGGUGUAGCGGUGAAAUGCGUAGAUAUCGGAAAGAACACCAGUGGCGAAGGCGACUUACUGGCUUAAUAUUGACGCUGAGGAGCGAAAGCGUGGGGAGCAAACAGG
rnacentral:rRNA from 1 species